UUGAAGGAAGGGAAGACCCCAGAGGAGAUGGAUAAAAUCUGUCUCCUGAUAUUUAGUGAGGAUGCAGCAGUACAUCCUCAAACCUGUUAAAUGACAAGAUGCACCUGGCCAUGAGGAUGAACGCUGGCCACGCUGGGGUGGACAAAGCCAUCAGGAUGCUCUGGGGCAGGACAUGGGGAUUCCUGGAGCACCUCCUGGUCCGGCCUCAGCAGCUGCAGGUUCAGACACACCAAGCAGAGGGUGUUUCAGAUGAGGCUGCUCAGCAUGUUUGCAGAACAAGCCCCAGGCCUGCCACAAUCACACCAUGAAG